rnacentral:rRNA from 1 species
AUUGAACGCUGGCGGCAUGCCUUACACAUGCAAGUCGAACGGCAGCGGACCUUCGGGUGCCGGCGAGUGGCGAACGGGUGAGAAAUGCAUCGGAACGUACCUUUCAGUGGGGGAUAACCAUUCGAAAGGAUGGCUAAUACCGGAUACGACCACUUCGGGCAUCCGAUGGCGGUGGAAAGGAUUCUGGUCUGGGAUGGGCCCGCGGCCUAUCAGCUUGUUGGUGGGGUAAUGGCCUACCAAGGCGACGACGGGUAGCCGGCCUGAGAGGGCGACCGGCCACACUGGGGCUGAGACACGGCCCAGACUCCUACGGGAGGCAGCAGUGGGGAAUAUUGCGCAAUGGGCGAAAGCCUGACGCAGCGACGCCGCGUGAGGGACGAAGGUCUUCGGAUUGUAAACCUCUUUCAGCAGGGAUGAAGCGAAAGUGACAGUACCUGCAGAAGAAGCACCGGCUAACUACGUGCCAGCCGCCGCAGUAAUAC